UACGGAGGAUCCAAGCGUUAUCCGGAAUCAUUGGGUUUAAAGGGUCCGUAGGCGGUCUUAUAAGUCAGUGGUGAAAUCUCCCCGCUCAACGGGGAAACGGCCAUUGAUACUGUAGGACUUGAAUUAUUAGGAAGUAACUAGAAUAUGUAGUGUAGCGGUGAAAUGCUUAGAGAUUACAUGGAAUACCAAUUGCGAAGGCAGGUUGCUACCAAUUGAUUGACGCUGAUGGACGAAAGCGUGGGUAGCGAACAGG
rnacentral:rRNA from 1 species